rnacentral:rRNA from 1 species
UAGGGAAUCUUCGGCAAUGGGGGCAACCCUGACCGAGCAACGCCGCGUGAGUGAAGAAGGUUUUCGGAUCGUAAAGCUCUGUUGUAAGAGAAGAACGAGUGUGAGAGUGGAAAGUUCACACUGUGACGGUAACUUACCAGAAAGGGACGGCUAACUACGUGCCAGCAGCCGCGGUAAUACGUAGGUCCCGAGCGUUAUCCGGAUUUAUUGGGCGUAAAGCGAGCGCAGGCGGUUAGAUAAGUCUGAAGUUAAAGGCUGUGGCUUAACCAUAGUACGCUUUGGAAACUGUUUAACUUGAGUGCAGAAGGGGAGAGUGGAAUUCCAUGUGUAGCGGUGAAAUGCGUAGAUAUAUGGAGGAACACCGGUGGCGAAAGCGGCUCUCUGGUCUGUAACUGACGCUGAGGCUCGAAAGCGUGGGGAGCAAACAGGAUUAGAUACCCUGGUAGUCCACGCUGUAAACGAUGAGUGCUAGGUGUUGGGUCCUUUCCGGGACUCAGUGCCGCAGCUAACGCAUUAAGCACUCCGCCUGGGGAGUACGACCGCAAGGUUG